CCAGCCGAUGACGACGAAGUGAAAGACGAUGAACUUUGCUUAAACAGUCUUACAAAGUUGGAAGAUGAUUAUCGAGGUGUGUUUAAACCUUCGAAUUAUUUAAUAUUGUGUGUAUUCAUUAUUUUGUUUUAUAGAGGAUUUGCCGUAAGAUCCUAACGCGAUCGUUUUAACACAAUCGCAGUCUGGUGAGUCAAAUGAUUCUCAUUUUACAAGAAAAAAAACAUGCGGUAUACGAUACAUAUAUACAUAUAUUUACUUACAUCUCCGGCUCGCUGGUCUCCCUUAAAGCUGGCGGGUCCGUCAACGGCCGUUCCAGGCAGAGGAGAAGGCUUGAUUGUGCCAAAGACUCCAGACAUCGAAUCCUUGCUCCGAGGGGAAAUCAUCGAAAACGACGGUGAAUGUCCGACAGGCACCCGCUAUUGGUAACACUGGACAAGUCGGAUAUCCUUGCUUGGAUCCUUUUAAAGUUGCCCGAUAAACUGCUGAGAGUUGAUCUCUCCUCUUGUCCAAAGGUUUUUCGUUCAUUUUUACUUGUAAUACUGGCACUAGGGUUGAUGUAGUAGCUCCACAACAUAACCUUAAAGCCUGUGACUGGAUCCGGUCUAUUUUCCCAAGUCAUGUUUUUGAAGCAGAUUGGUAAAUAAUGCAUCCGUAAUCAAUAACAGAUGGAAUUAAAGUUAUAAA